GCGCUCGUAGCUCAGUUGGAUAGAGCAUCCGCCUUCUAAGCGGACGGUCGCGCGUUCGAACCGCGCCGAGCGCACCA
rnacentral:tRNA from 1 species